GAUGAACGCUAGCGGCAGGCCUAACACAUGCAAGUCGAGGGAGAAGCCCUUCGGGGCAGAAACCGGCGCACGGGUGCGUAACGCGUAUGCAACCUACCUUUCACAGGGGGAUAGCCCGAAGAAAUUUGGAUUAAUACCCCAUAAUAUUAUUGGGUGGCAUCAUUUGAUAAUUAAAAUUACGAUGGUGAAAGAUGGGCAUGCGUCCUAUUAGCUAGUUGGAGUGGUAACGGCACCCCAAGGCUACGAUAGGUAGGGGUCCUGAGAGGGAGAUCCCCCACACUGGUACUGAGACAGGGACCAGACUCCUACGGGAGGCAGCAGUGAGGAAUAUUGGUCAACGGUCGGAAGACUGAACCAGCCAUGCCGCGUGCAGGAAGAAUGCCUUAUGGGUUGUAAACUGCUUUUAUAUGGGAAGAAUAAGGAGUACGUGUACUUUGAUGACGGU
rnacentral:rRNA from 1 species